rnacentral:rRNA from 1 species
AACGAACGCUGGCGGCAUGCCUAACACAUGCAAGUCGAACGAGACCUUCGGGUCUAGUGGCGCACGGGUGCGUAACGCGUGGGAACCUGCCCUUAGGUUUGGAAUAACUCCCCGAAAGGGGUGCUAAUACCGGAUAAUGUCUUCGGACCAAAGAUUUAUCGCCUUUGGAUGGGCCCGCGUUGGAUUAGCUAGUUGGUAGGGUAAAAGCCUACCAAGGCGAGGAUCCAUAGCUGGUUUGAGAGGAUGAUCAGCCACACUGGGACGGAGACACGGCCCAGACUCCUACGGGAGGCAGCAGUGGGUAAUAUUGGACAAUGGGCGAAGGCCUGAUCCAGCAAUGCCGCGUGAGUGAUGAAGGCCGUAGGGUUGUAAAGCUCUUUUACCCGGGAUGGUAAUGACAGUACCGGGAGAAUAAGCUCCGGCUAACUCCGUG